CAGUCGCCACGGUAAUACCAGCACCUCGAGUGGUCAGGAGGUUUAUUGGGCCUAAAGCAUCCGUAGCCGGUUGCAUAAGUUUUCGGUUAAAUCUAUGCGCUUAACGUAUAGGCCGCCGAAAAUACUGUGCAGCUAGGGAGUGGGAGAGGUACACGGUACUCGAUAGGAAGGGGUAAAAUCCUUUGAUCUAUUGAUGACCACCUGUGGCGAAGGCGGUGUACCAGAACACGUUCGACGGUGAGGGAUGAAAGCUGGGGGAGCAAACAGGAUUAGAGACCCCUGUAGUCCCUGUCUCUUAUAC
rnacentral:rRNA from 1 species